GCUAAUUCCCAAUGUUCCCUGCACUAUGAAAAAAUGCAGGGCAAAGAUUUAUCGCUUUUGGAGGGGGGUGCGUCCUAUCAGGUAGUUGGUGUGGUAAUAGCUCACCAAGCCUAUGACGGGUAGCCGGUCUGAGAGGAUGUCCGGCCGCAAUGGAACUGAGACACGGUCCAUACUCCUACGGGAGGCAGCAGUGGGGAAUCUUGCGCAAUGGGCGAAAGCCUGACGCAGCAAUCCCGCGUGAAGGAUGAAGCAUUAUGGUGUGUAAACUUCUUUUCUGGUGGAAGACGAAUGACGGUACACCAGGAAUAAGGGACGGCUAACUACGUGCCAGCAGCCGCGGUAAUACGUAGGUCCCAAGUGUUAUCCGGAAUUACUGGGCGUAAAGAGUCUGUAGCCGGGUUUGUAAGUCUGUUUUCAAAUCCUAUGGCUUAACCAUAGAGAGGGAAUGGAUACUGCAAACCUUGAGAUUAUUGGGGGUUGAUGGAAUUUCCGGUGGAGCGGUGAAAUGCGUUGAUAUCGGAAGGAACGCCAAAAGUGAAAGCAGUCAACUACAAUAAAAUCUGACGGUCAGAGACGAAAGCUUGGGGAGCAAACGGGAUUAGAUACCCCGGUAGUCCAAGCCGUAAAUUAUGCAUGCUAGGUGUCUUGUUCACUUUAUGUGAGCGGGGUGCCGUAAUCUAACGAGUUAAGCAUGCCGCCUGGGUAGUAUAUUCGCAAGAAUGAACUCAAAGGAUAGGCGGGGGACACACAAGCAGUGGAUUGUCUCGAUUAAUUGGAUAAUAAGCCAAGAAUCUUACCUAGACUUGACAUAUAUUGUGUCCUACGUGAAAGUGUAGUAAUCCCGAUUUUGUCGGGAUACGAUAUACAGGUGGUGCAUGGUCGUCGUCAGCUCGUGCCGCAAGAUGUCCAGUUAAG
rnacentral:rRNA from 1 species